rnacentral:tRNA from 1 species
CUGGGGUUGGGCUCAGCGGUAGAGCGUUUGCCUAGCAUGUGAGACACGCUGGGUUCAAUCCUCAGCACCACAUA